UCGUUGCCUUUCGAAAAACACGACCGUUGCACACGUGACAGAACGCUGCCGGGGAGGUGCUUSCUGCCUCCUCGGSCCCGCCGGCMUCUUCCCUCUCGCCCUCCGGGCGCGGGGGGCGCUGGCCGGAAUACGGCGCGGGAUGACGCCAAGGAACACGAGAAAGCGGAGGCACCGGCGAGCCGCUCGACGGUUGCGCCGGAUGCCGAGGCCAACGGAAAAAAUACGACUCUCGGCAACGGAUAUCUCGGCUCUCGCAUCGAUGAAGAACGUAGCGAAAUGCGAUACGUGGUGUGAAUUGCAGAAUCCCGUGAACCAUCGAGUCUUUGAACGCAAGUUGCGCCCGAGGGACCCUCCCGAGGGCACGCCUGCCUCAUGGGCGUUAGAAGCCCAUCCACGCUCGGUUGCCUCGCGACAAAGAUGCGGAAAUUGGCCCUCCGAACCGCGAGGCGCGGUGGGCCUAAGUGUGCGGUCGUCGUGCGUGGCCGGGAGCGGCGAGUGGUGGGCUACUGCGCACGUCGCCCCGAGCUCCGUACCGACACAGGGCCUUGCUCGACCCCCUAACGAGGAGCGUGCCGGCGCGGCCCGUGCUGCGCGGCACCUUCGGACC
rnacentral:rRNA from 1 species